UCAGAUUCCUUGUGACCUCUAAUUAUUUAUUUUAUGAUUAUUGCAACUUUUGUAGAUGAUCACACCCUAUCUUAUCUAGGCAUUUAUUGUAGAAAAUUGUGUGAAACUAAUCAGGGAUACAUUUGAAAGUCAUUGUCCCAGUGGCUGCCAGAACUGAAGUGUGUUUCCUCUGCAGAUACCAGACACUCAGAUUCCUCCAGUGACAUCUUCAUUUUAUUUCCUGCUUGGCUUUGGGCCUUAAUCCUGUGCUAAACAGAGAGACUCUGCCUUUCAGAUCCCCCAGGUCAUGCAAGAGUUUCUAUGAGUUCCUCCAGUGCCAGCAACACAGAGGUGUUAGCGCCUUUGCCCCUGCAG